AACGAACGCUGGCGGCAUGCCUAACACAUGCAAGUCGAACGGGACCUCCGGGUCUAGUGGCGCACGGGUGCGUGACGCGGGGGAACCUGCCCUUAGGUUCGGAAUACCUCCCCGUAGGGGGUGCUAAUGCCGGAUAAUGUAUUCGGACAAAAGAUUUAUCGCUGUUGGAUGGGCCCUCGUUGGUUUAGCUGGUUGGGAGGGGACAAGCCUACCAAGGCGACGAUCCAUAGCUGGUCUGAGAGGAUGAUCAGCCACACUGGGACUGAGACACGGCCCAGACUCCGACGGGAGGCGGCAGUGGGGAAUAUUGGACAACGGGCGAAAGCCUGAGCAAGCAAGGGCGCGUGAGGGAUGAAGUCCUUAGGGUUGUAAAGCUCGUUUACCCGGGAUGAUAAUGACAGUACCGGGAGAAUAAGCCCCGGCUAACUCCGUG
rnacentral:rRNA from 1 species